UUUCGCAAUGCCCGAAAGGGUGACGAAGCGACGCCGCGUGCGGGAAGAAGGCCUUCGGGUUGUAAACCGCUGUCGGGAGUUAAGAAGUGCAAGGGUGUUAAUAGCAUCUUUGCUUGACUAAGGCUCCGGAGGAAGCCACGGCUAACUCUGUGCCAGCAGCCGCGGUAAUACAGAGGCGGCAAGCGUUGUUCGGAAUUAUUGGGCGUAAAGAGCACGUAGGCGGCCGUGCAAGUCGGUUGUGAAAGCCUUCCGCUCAACGGAAGAACGGCAUCCGAUACUGCAUGGCUCGAGUGCGGGAGGGGAGAGUGGAACUUCUGGUGGAGCGGUGAAAUGCGUAGAUAUCAGAAGGAACACCGGCGGCGAAAGCGGCUCCCUGGCCCGUAACUGACGCUGAGUGUGCGAAAGCUAGGGGAGCAAACGGGAUUAGAUACCCCGGUAGUCCUAGCCGUAAACGAUGGGCACUAAGUAGAGGGGUUUU
rnacentral:rRNA from 1 species